rnacentral:rRNA from 1 species
GAUGAACGCUGGCGGCGUGCUUAACACAUGCAAGUCGAACGAUGAAGCCCAGCUUGCUGGGUGGAUUAGUGGCGAACGGGUGAGUAACACGUGAGUAACCUGCCCUUGACUCUGGGAUAAGCCUGGGAAACUGGGUCUAAUACGGGAUAUGACUUCUCAUCGCAUGGUGGGGGGGGGAAAGAUUUAUUGGUCUUGGAUGGACUCGCGGCCUAUCAGCUUGUUGGUGGGGUAAUGGCUCACCAAGGCGACGACGGGUAGCCGGCCUGAGAGGGUGACCGGCCACACUGGGACUGAGACACGGCCCAGACUCCUACGGGAGGCAGCAGUGGGGAAUAUUGCACAAUGGGCGCAAGCCUGAUGCAGCGACGCCGCGUGAGGGAUGACGGCCUUCGGGUUGUAAACCUCUUUCAGUAGGGAAGAAGCGAGAGUGACGGUACCUGCAGAAGAAGCGCCGGCUAACUACGUG